CUGGUGUUGGUGUGUGAAGAGAGAGAGUUCACUGGUGUUGGUCUGUGAAGAGAGAGAGAGAGUUCACUGGUGUUGGUGUGUGAAGAGAGAGAGUUCACUGGUGUUGGUGUGUGAAGAGAGAGAGUUCACUGGUGUUGGUGUGUGAAGGGAGACAGAGUUCACUGGUGUUGGUGUGUGAAGAGAGAGAGUUCACUGGUGUUGGUGUGUGAAGAGAGACAGAGUUCACUGGUGUUGGUGUGUGAAGAGAGAGAGAUCACUAGUGUUGGUGUGUGAAGAGAGAGAGUUCACUGGUGUUGGUGUGUGAAGAGAGAGAGUUCACUGGUGUUGGUGUGUGAAGAGAGAGAGUUCACUGGUGUUGGUGUGUGAAGAGAGACAGAGUUCACUGGUGUUGGUGUGUGAAGAGAGAGAGUUCACUAGUGUUGGUGUGUGAAGUGAGACAGAGUUCACUGGUGUUGGUCUGUGAAGAGAGACAGAGUUCACUGGUGUUGGUGUGUGAAGAGAGAGAGAGUUCACUGGUGUUGGUGUGUGAAGAGAGAGAGUUCACUGGUGUUGGUGUGUGAAGAGAGAGAGUUCACUGGUGUUGGUGUGUGAAGAGAGAGAGUUCACUGGUGUUGGUGUGUGAAGAGAGAGUUCACUGGUGUUGGUGUGUGAAGGGAGAGAGUUCACUGGUGUUGGUGUGUGAAGAGAGACAGAGUUCACUGGUGUUGGUGUGUGAAGAGAGAGAGAGUUCACUGGUGUUGGUGUGUGAAGAGAGAGAGUUCGCUGGUGUUGGUGUGUGAAGAGAGAGAGUUCACUGGUGUUGGUGUGUGAAGGGAGACAGAGUUCACUGGUGUUGGUGUGUGAAGAGACAGAGUUCACUGGUGUUGGUGUGUAAAGAGAGAGAGUUCGCUGGUGGUGGUGUGUGAAAUGAGAGAGUUCACUGGUGUUGGUGUGUGAAGAGAGACAGAGUUCACUGGUGUUGGUGUGUGAAGAGAGAGAGUUCACUGGUGUUGGUGUGAAGAGAAGAGAGAGAGUUCACUGGUGUUGGUGUGUGAAGAGAGACAGAGUUCACUGGUGUUGGUGUGUGAAGGGAGAGAGUUCACUGGUGUUGGUGUGUGAAGAGAGACAGAGUUCACUGGUGUUGGUGUGUGAAGAGGUUGAUUAUGUGCAUUAAAAAAAGUCAUCAUGUUCUUCAUGCGAACUGACAGAAUGGUCAGAUGCUAUUUCUGGAGGCACUAUUUCAGAUCAUUCUCCAGAUCAUUCUCUUCUUUAGUGGAAAUGGAGAGGAAGUCAAAGCAGAGAACAGUGUUGGUUAGCUCUUGUCACGUGACCUGAGAUGAAAUGCACAUGACUCAGGCAGGCCAUUGAAGAUUUUUGAGUAGUGAGGGGGAGUUGAGAAAAACCAUGAAUGAAAUGGUGGUUGCACUGCCCAAUUGGCAGGAUCAUCUUCUGGAUGACAAUGAAUGUGAUUUCAUUUCAUGUUUGUUUUCUUAUCUCAUAUAUCUAUCUCUCUCUCUCGCCACAGCUCUACGUCAUAACCACAUUGUAUACAACUGAAUUGAGUGUUGAUGCAAGCUUUCAUAUUUCAGACCAAAAAAGGUCUCAAAAUAAAAUUGCCGAACAUACCAUCACAAAUAGAGAGACAUAGAUCACUCCGAUAAAACAUGGAUAAAUGCAUGUGUACGAUAUCAACCCCAAUCAGACUCUUUCCUGUGGUUAUGUUUCUCAAAGGGAGAGAGAUGCCUGCUGUUUCUGCAGGUGGCAUCUAUUUCAAACACCACAAAGCAGCUAGCAGCAGACUUCUAGGAAGAACCACAUAGUCAAUGCUAACUGAUGUGAGUGUUUAAGUACGUAUAUCCGCUGUUAUUCGAAGGCUAGGCCACAGACAGACACAGCAGGAAGUACAUUGCAGUAAGUGUUGUUACCAUGCAGAACUGGCCCGGAGAAGACUUGCUGCAACACACAGUAAUGAUUUGUGCCUUUAGAGAGCUAUUUCCUGGUCCCAGAUCGUCAUGUGUUUGCUAUGGCAUACAUACACCAGGUACAGCAAUGAUCGUCACAGGAGUGUGACUGGCUGGGCUUGAACCCUGACCUCUGAGCACCACAAGAUUGCAUUGGCCUGCGGAGCGAACGCCUAGCGCCUAGGUACUAGCCCAGGGAGCAAACUGAAGUCUUCAGGUCUCAGCUAAGGUUAUUCAUCACGCAAGUCAAGUGUUUCUGUCCCCUAUGGGCCCUGGUCAAAAGUAGUGCACUACAUAAGGAAUAGAGUGCCAUUCGGGAUACAGUCAGAGUAUUCCUUUUGUUCUAUAUGACAACUAUGCAUACUUUAUAAUGGUUAAAGGGUAAUCAUUUGGCAUUCCUGAAGAAAUAAUAUCCUGCAUGU
rnacentral:lncRNA from 1 species